rnacentral:rRNA from 1 species
AUACGGAGGGUGCAAGCGUUACUCGGAAUCACUGGGCGUAAAGCGCGCGCAGGCGGCUAUUUAAGUUGGAUGUGAAAGCCUACGGCUCAACCGUAGAACUGCAUCCAAAACUAUUUAGCUAGAGUGUGGGAGAGGAAGAUGGAAUUAGUCGUGUAGGGGUAAAAUCCGUAGAGAUAACUAGGAAUACCAAAAGCGAAGGCAAUCUUCUGGAACACUACUGACGCUGAGGCGCGAAAGCGUGGGGAGCAAACAGGAUUAGAAACCCUAGUAGUCC